ensembl:lncRNA
CAUUGAGGACUUUCUGUAAUAUUGCUAAUAUAAUGAAAUAAAUGAGCCUUAUAAAGGACUAUUGUGAAUUGAUAAUGUGUAUGAGCCUCAUGGUGGACGUUUAUAUAUUUGAUGAGAUAUAUGAGCCUUGCUGAGUCCGAGAGACCAGUGAGGACAUUCUGUUUGCAUAAGCAUAACUAAAUAUUUUAGAGGGGAAAACACACAUAGGGAAAGAAAACCAAUAAAGUUCUUUAGGGUCAGAUGGUACAUUUUGAUUUUGUGGAUGGUACUGGUGGAUUGAUUGGUUGAUUGUGUGGUGUGUAAUCUCGCAUUCUCUUUUCUCUCUUUCUGGAUGAGAGAAAAAGAGAACUGUGGUUGAGAACUUACAGUUGGAUUUGAGCGCACUUCAAUACUCCCUCGUUUGAUUUUAAAUUGAUAAUACAUAAUAUAAAUACAAUUAUGAUAUAUGUUUAGAAUGAAUAUAAAAUGAAAGUAAGGGAUUUCUUUGUAGAAUAAUAUGAUAGAUACGAUAGGUUUGUGCCUAUUAAUUGUUUAUAGAGAGACUUUGUAGGGAACAUUCCCAUUGUGAUAGAUUAAAAUAAUAUCAAUGUUGGUGAAUAAUGUGUACAAAGUCUGUUGAAUUGAUUAUUAUAUGAUGAUUUAAAGUGAAUAUAAGACAUUGAACUUUUGUUCUGUUUCUCUUUCCUUUCUUUUAUUUGAUUGUGAUGAAUGUGAGUUGGGGAAGAGAUGGUGGAAUGCGUCUGAAUUCCGGUCCUCCAAAGGUCAGAUGGGGGGACAGCUGAUUGUGCUCUACACGAACUGAGACAAGCGGGUGACGAUAUAUACAGAUUCAGCCUAUGCUCAUAAUGUGUGUCACUUGUUUGGAGCAGUGUGGAAGAAUCGAGGAUUCAAGAAGUCAGAUGGUUCUCCUAUACAACAUUGUGCUCAGAUUAUGAAGUUGCUGCAUGCAAUGAUGAGGCCUAAGGAAAUAGCAAUAGCUAAGUGUGCAGCACAUAAAAGUGACAUUUCAAGGGUCACACAAGGUAAUAAAGCGGCUGAUGAAGCAGCCAAGGCAGUUAUAGGUGCA